UUUCAGGUAUGUAAUGUUUUAUACUGUAUAUUUAUUAAUUAUAAGAAAUGAUAUUUAUAACAUAUGAUUACAAUGAUUUUUAUAUUGUUUUUUUAAUUGUGAUGUUGAAAAUGUAAGUGAGAAGCUUAUAGAAAUUCAAUAGUUUUGUGUAGAGGUUAUAUAGAAAUUAAUAAAGCCAUACAGGAUGCAACAAAAGCAGUUGAAGCAGUUCUGGUGUUUUUGAAAUGUUUUGAAUUACUUGAAUUUCAUGUUUAGGGGUUAAAAUUUUAUAUUGUGGUUGUUGUUGUUGUUGGAUCUUUGUAAUAGUGGGUUUUUAAUUAUGCAAUAUCUGUGUGUUUUAAGGUGUAUUAGUUAAGAGAAAAAAAACAAGUGGUGACUUCAAAGAGAAAUGUAUUUGUAGAUGUUCAUAGUUGCUGAAGUUUCAAAUUAUUUUCUUAAAAAAGGUUUUGCAUUUACAUUAAGGUACUGUGUUUAUUUCUCAGUAAUAAAUUAAAAAGGUAUGAUAUUGUCCUUUGGUGCAGUUUGUAAAACCAAGGUAUUAUGACUCCUGAAACUAGUUCGAUUAAGGUAUUAGAAAGGUAAAACGCUCUUCGCAAUUCAAAUUACACGCACGCGGGCGGAUUUCCAGGCUCUUACGUCCGCAUGUUACUUUGUUCAGGUGCAGGAUAGAAACGGUGUGGAGGGUCGCUUAUUUCAGCCAUUGUAGGGCACAUUUUUAUUACAAGACUGUUCUGGUUUCGCUUUAUCUAUUCUAAGCCAUUUUCCUGGGACUAAAUCGGUGCUUCAUUUUCUGUGUAGCUGUACUCUCCUCGUGGCUUAUAGUAAGCUGUUCAAAGCAGUAUAGGAACACUCGCAUAUCAACAGGACAUUGAGAUUUUAUUGCUUCUUUUUUUAGGGAAUACCAAUGGCACAGAAAUUCAUCAUUCGCAACCUGGGCCGUCUGUUUAUCAAGCCACCUCCAUUAGAUUUGCGGAGAGCGUUUUCUGACUGCCACUCUUGCGCACCACUAAUAUUGUAGGUUCUCACGGUGAUGACCCCAAGGCAGCGCUCAUUAAGUUUGCUGAUAAUCAGCUCCUAGAUUUCCUGGAGAUAGAUUUCUUGCACUGCUCGCCUGCGACCACCAGCGUUCUUAGCUGUUGAGCGGCAGCGAAGGAAGGAGCAUGGAUAGUUCUGCCUAACUGCCGUUUGGGGAGCUC